rnacentral:rRNA from 1 species
AUUGAACGCUGGCGGCAGGCCUAACACAUGCAAGUCGAGCGAGCGGCGGACGGGUGAGUAAUGUCUGGGAAACCGCCUGAUGGGGGGGGAUAACUACUGGAAACGCUAGCUAAUACCGCAUACCAUCAGAUGUGCCCAGGUGGGAUGAGCUGGUGGGUGGGGUAACGGCUCACCUAGGCGACGAUCCCUAGCUGGUCUGGGAGGAUGACCAGCCACACUGGAACUGAGACACGGUCCAGACUCCUACGGGAGGCAGCAGUGGGGAAUAUUGCGCAAUGGGCGAAAGCCUGAUGCAGCCAUGCCGCGUGUGUGAAGAAGGCCUUCGGGUUGUAAAGCACUUUCAGCAGGGAGGCGUUACCCGCAGAAGAAGCACCGGCUAACUCCGUGCCAGCAGCCGCGGUAAUAC